rnacentral:rRNA from 1 species
AACCUGGUUGAUCCUGCCAGUAGUCAUAUGCUUGUCUCAAAGACUAAGCCAUGCAUGUCUAAGUAUAAAUGCUAUACAAUGAAACUGCGAAUGGCUCAUUAAAACAGUUAUAGUUUAUAUGGUAAUCGAAUUUACAUGGAUAACCGUGGUAAUUCUAGAGCUAAUACAUGCUGUUAAGCCCAACUUAUGGAAGGGCCGUAUUUAUUAGAUAACAGACCAAUAUUCUUCGUGUCUAUUGUGGUGAAUCAUAGUAACCAAUCGGAUCGUAUGGGCUAGUCCCUCGACAAACCAUUCAAGUUUCUGCCCCAUCAGCUUUCGAUGGUAGUGUAUUGGACUACCAUGGCUUUCACGGGUAACGGAGGAUUAGGGUUCGAUUCCGGAGAGGGAGCCUGAGAAACGGCUA